rnacentral:rRNA from 1 species
GACGAACGCUGGCGGCGUGCUUAACACAUGCAAGUCGAACGAUGAAGCCGGAGCUUGCUCUGGUGAAUUAGUGGCGAACGGGUGAGUAACACGUGAGUAACCUGCCCUUGACUCUGGGAUAACUGCGGGAAACUGUAGCUAAUACCGGAUACGACCCUCGGAGGCAUCUCCUGGGGGUGGAAAGAAUUUCGGUCAAGGAUGGACUCGCGGCCUAUCAGCUAGUUGGAGAGGUAAAGGCUCACCAAGGCGACGACGGGUAGCCGGCCUGAGAGGGUGACCGGCCACACUGGGACUGAGACACGGCCCAGACUCCUACGGGAGGCAGAAGUGGGGAAUAUUGCACAUUGGGCGCAAGCCUGAUGCAGCAACGCCGCGUGAGGGAUGACGGCCUUCGGGUUGUAAACCUCUUUUAGCAGGGAAGAAGCGAAAGUGACGGUACCUGCAGAAAAAGCACCGGCUAACUACGUGCCAGCAGCCGCCGUAA